rnacentral:rRNA from 1 species
AUUGAACGCUGGCGGCAGGCUUAACACAUGCAAGUCGAGCGGAGAUGAGGUGCUUGCACCUUAUCUUAGCGGCGGACGGGUGAGUAAUGCUUAGGAAUCUGCCUAUUAGUGGGGGACAACAUUCCGAAAGGAAUGCUAAUACCGCAUACGUCCUACGGGAGAAAGCAGGGGAUCUUCGGACCUUGCGCUAAUAGAUGAGCCUAAGUCGGAUUAGCUAGUUGGUGGGGUAAAGGCCUACCAAGGCGACGAUCUGUAGCGGGUCUGAGAGGAUGAUCCGCCACACUAGGACUGAGACACGGCCCAGACUCCUACGGGAGGCAGCAGUGGGGAAUAUUGGACAAUGGGGGGAACCCUGAUCCAGCCAUGCCGCGUGUGUGAAGAAGGCCUUAUGGUUGUAAAGCACUUUAAGCGAGGAGGAGGCUCUUUUGGUUAAUACCCAAGAUGAGUGGACGUUACUCGCAGAAUAAGCACCGGCUAACUCUGUGCCAGCAGCCGCGGUAA